CCUCCUUGCUCAGUGGGGCUCCUCCACACACAACUGUUUGUAGCGAACUCAAAUCAUACUUGGACCUUAUCUGAUCAGCGCCGUUGAUCAGUGCUACUAGUAUAGGUGGUACCAGAUGGAGAUCCGUGGCACGAUACCUCUCGAUCGUGGAUAGCAUCUCAUGAAUCUCGAACUUUGAGAGCACAAUGAUUGUUGAUCCUGACGCGAGUAAUCCCGUCGCGAACAAUGCUAGACCGUAAAUGUGAAACAUUGGGACGGUGCAGAUAAAUUUAUGCUCUCUGUCUUCGUUAAAGCGUCCAAUGAUGGUUUGAACCAUCGCGAUUAGGUUGCGAUGCGAGGAAACUACGCCCUUGCUUGCUCCGGUUGUACCUGAAGAGUAGAGCAGAGUAGCUGUGUCGUCCAUGUUGACUCGCUCCCUGACACGACUCCCACUAGGCUCCUUCAUCAUCUCGCUUAAAGUUGUCACGAUUAUGGAUUGGGCUUUGAUGGAAUCAUGGUCGUCUAUGAGGAUGAUGGGGAGAUUCGAGUUCGACUCGGUGAGUUUGGGGACUAGUUGGGGGGUGGUAAAGGCGAAUAAAGGUUUGGAGUCGGCGAUUUGCUUGGCGAUUUCACGGGGAGUGUUGAGAGGGUUGGUGGUGGUAAUUAUGGCACCAAGGGACAUAACAGAAAGGCAAACAACAGGAAAGAAAAUGGAGUUUGGGGAAAGGAGAAGGAUAACGUGGCCCUUGCGGACUCCUAUCUCAAAUAGAGAGGUGGCGACGGAAUCGACGGAUUUCCAUAGGUCGAUGAAGGUGAGGUGGAGGCCAGUGGUGGCGUCAAUGAAGGCUGUCUUGCCACGGUGAGCCUGGGACGAAAUAAAGGUGGUGAUGUCGAUGCAGUAAUUGUGUGGGAGAGGAAUAGGCUUGCGUUUACUGCAGAAAAUAGAAUUAGAUCUGCAAAAGCCGCUUCUCGGGUCGAUCUCGAAGCUGCAAUCGUGUGCCAUUAUCGGACUCUGGACUCUGCUGCUUUCCUUAGAUGGACUAGAGAGUAGACUCAUUAGACUGGGGCUUUGCUUUGCUUUGUUCAGACCUGGCCAGAUCUUUUAUGGGAAACUUCAGCCGUUUCUUGAAUGAAAAUCGCGUGGAUGUGAUCUGCCGAAGUG
rnacentral:misc_RNA from 1 species